GGCAAGAUGGCCGAGCGGUCUAAGGCGCCGGAUUUAAGUUCAGGCAUUCGAGCAAUGCUCUUAGCUGAUUCCCGGUGGGGCAAUCCCGCGCGAGUUCGAACCUCGCUCUUGUCA